GUCUACGGCCAUACCACCCUGAACGCGCCCGAUCUCGUCUGAUCUCGGAAGCUAAGCAGGGUCGGGCCUGGUUAGUACUUGGAUGGGAGGAGAGACAGAGAGGAAGAUC
rnacentral:rRNA from 1 species